rnacentral:rRNA from 1 species
AAUCAACGCUGGCGGCGUGCCUCAGACAUGCAAGUCGAACGAUUAAAGCUCUCUUCGGAGAGUGUAUAGAGUGGCGCACGGGUGAGUAACACGUAAGUAAUCUACCUUUGAGUGGGGAAUAACCCGGGGAAACCCGAGCUAAUACCGCAUAAUGCAGCGGCAUCGCAAGAUGACAGUUGUUAAAGGAGCAAUCCGCUUAAAGAGGAGCUUGCGGCAGAUUAGCUAGUUGGUAAGGUAAUGGCUUACCAAGGCUACGAUCUGUAUCCGGUCUAAGAGGACGGUCGGACACACUGACACUGAAUAACGGGUCAGACUCC